rnacentral:snRNA from 1 species
ACACUCAUAUUUCUUCUCAGAUCGUAUAAAUCUUUCGCCUUUUACUAAAGAUUUCCGUGGGAAGAAAAACAAUGAGUAUCAAUUAAUUUUUUGAUACCCCGUUUGUACGGGGCU